rnacentral:rRNA from 1 species
UACGUAGGGUGCAAGCGUUAUCCGGAUUCACUGGGUUUAAAGGGCGCGUAGGCGGCUUGGCAAGUGGUUGGUGAAAUCCCUCGGCUUAACCGAGGAACUGCCGUCCAAACUGCUUCGCUUGAGACCGGGAGAGGUGAGUGGAAUUCACAGUGUAGCGGUGAAAUGCGUAGAGAUCGGGAGGAACACCGGUGGCGAAGGCGCACACCUGGCCCGAUACUGACGCUGAGGCGCGAAAGCUAGGGGAGCAAACGGG